rnacentral:rRNA from 1 species
GACGAACCGAGCGAACGUUGUUCGGAAUCACUGGGCUUAAAGGGCGCGUAGGCGGGCAUUCAAGUCCGUGGUGAAAUCCUCCAGCUCAACUGGAGAACUGCCGCGGAUACUGGGUGUCUCGAGGGAGGUAGGGGCAUGCGGAACUAACGGUGGAGCGGUGAAAUGCGUUGAUAUCGUUAGGAACUCCGGUGGCGAAGGCGGCAUGCUGGACCUCUUCUGACGCUGAGGCGCGAAAGCCAGGGGAGCAAAGCGGG